rnacentral:rRNA from 1 species
GAAUUUUCCGCAAUGGGGGCAACCCUGACGGAGCGACGCCGCGUGCAGGAUGAAGGCCUUCGGGUCGUAAACUGCUUUUAUUUGGGACGAACAAAUGACGGUACCAAAUGAAUAAGAGGUUGCUAACUCUGUGCCAGCAGCAGCGGUAAUACAGAGACCUCAAGCGUUAUCCGGAUUCAUUGGGCGUAAAGGGUCCGCAGGCUGUUGUGUAAGUCGUUUGUUAAAUCUUCGGGCUUAACCCGGAGACAGCGGGCGAUACUGCACAACUAGAGACUGGGAGAGGCACACGGAAUUGCCGGUGUAGCGGUAAAAUGCGUUAAUAUCGGCAAGAACACCAAAGGCGAAGGCAGUGUGCUGGAACAGUUCUGACGCUCAGGGACGAAAGCGUGGGUAGCGAAAGGGAUUAGAUACCCCUGUAGUC